AGAAGUGCCACAUGCCCCUGCUGCGUGCAAUGUUUGAAGAUGUCGCAAAGUUAUUUUUCCUCUAACAUCUGUGAACUAUGACUAACAAAUAAAGAAUCAGAUGAGUACAGAACUGACUAUGCCAUCCUUCCUGCUGAUAAACUCGCUCUCUCUUACCCACACUGGCGGCAUGUGUGCUCUGGACAUUCAUGUCCUGACGGAUGUAAGAAAGCAGAUGGUGUGGCAAAAGCAGAUCAGAAUUAAAGACUGAGAGCUCAAUUCAUUCAGGCAGAAAAGGCAGCCUCUCCACUAACUCAAUCUACCAGCACAAGUUUUAAAGCAUAAUAGAAGAUUUUUUAUGCCUCCAGCACUGCACUGCACCCUUUUAUGACAGGAAUGAGAGUGCAGGUCCCACCCCAAACUAUUUACUGAUCCAGGAUAUUAGGAAGAACUAGGUUAAGAAGAGCCAAAACGUUCUGAAAUUCCACCCAAUCGUGCCUUUUAAUCUCAACUAAAAACUGCAAGAAGGAUCAAAGACCAGCUGACACUUGUUCUGGCACUAAGAAUAUUAUAAAUAAGGAUCCUGCUUUUGUGAGCUCCUGAGCACCUUUAAAUCUCUUUGACCCUGAUGAAAAGGAAGAAGAAAUUGUAAAUAUAACUGCCUGAAGAUUCUCUACCCAGUCCUUAUGUUCUUGUGUGACAGCAGUGAGAAAUGUCAGGAACUUGAGCAUCCUCAAGAUACCAUGACCUCUUCGGACUGUUCCAAUCAGACAUGGUUUUGCUGAAGCCAGCAUAAAUAUUUUUGGAGUGCAAAGUUAUGUUUUUCUUAAAUGACCAUUGGAAAAAAUGACCUUGUGAUAUGGGUGAAGUUCUAUUGAAUUUCUUAGAUGAUGAAUGAUGAUAUUAUAUUGUAUCCGAUUGCAUAGUUCCUGAAUAGGCACAAUUUGGCUACAGGAAGGGUAUUAGCUUGGAUAUUUGUUAACAUUUCCUUUUUGUAUUAUGAAAACAAAUAAUAUGCAGAUUGGCUGUGUUUGGUUUGCAUAAAAAGAUGUGGUUGGUUUUCUAUGAAAUGCUAUGUUCUAUGGUAAUUAAAGAAAUUUCCUUCUCCAUGGCUUAGCUUUAUGCAGUUUUCUAUUUACCUCAUUAGUGUAGAAAACCAAACAAAUGUCAUACCUACAUUUUUGACUGUAGGGCGGUAACAUGCUUUUGCAACUUGGAGUAUUUUUGUCUUUAGUUUAUUUAGUCUUCUUUUUUUAAUUGUUUGUUGUUAUUAUUAAUAUUGUUAUACAUUAUUUUUAUCUAAAAUGCUCAGAAUGGAACAACAGGCAGGACAAGUAAAUUAUGACUUCAGUUCUCUCUGCUUUUGACAUCUGCCUUCUGUGAAUCAAUGAUUUACAUAUAAAUGCAUUUAAAUAGCUGCUGUUUGAUUUUCUGUCGUCUAUUUCUGUUGGUGUGAACACUCAUGACCAUAUCAAACAAUGCCAAAAAUCUAAAUAAUUUUUUAAAAGUGUGAUUUUAAAAUGCCAAAAACAGAGACAAACAAAUCCUGGGGAAUUACUGUGUUAUUAGAUAAUAACAUCAUCCAGACAGAGUGA